UACGUAGGAGGCGAGCGUUGUCCGGAUUUACUGGGCGUAAAGCGCGUGUAGGCGGUUCGAUUAGUCCGCUGUGAAAGUCGGGGGCUCAACCCUCGGAUGCCGGUGGAUACUGUCGGGCUUGAGUACGGAAGAGGCGAGUGGAAUUCCUGGUGUAGCGGUGAAAUGCGCAGAUAUCAGGAGGAACACCAAUUGCGAAGGCAGCUCGCUGGGACGUUACUGACGCUGAGACGCGAAAGCGUGGGGAGCAAACAGG
rnacentral:rRNA from 1 species